CUGAGUGUAAAAACUCCCAAACCCAUGUGAACAUACCAUUGUUGCUUCGGCAGGAACGCCCCGGGCGCCCAUUCGGUGCCCCGGACCCAGGCGCCUGCCGGAGGACCUAAACUCUUGUAUUUGUGUAUCUUCUGAGUGGAUUUCAUAAAUAAAUCA
rnacentral:misc_RNA from 1 species